UGAACGCUGGCGGUAGGCCUAACACAUGCAAGUCGAACGGCAGCACAGUAAGAGCUUGCUCUUACGGGUGGCGAGUGGCGGACGGGUGAGGAAUACAUCGGAAUCUACUUUUUCGUGGGGGAUAACGUAGGGAAACUUACGCUAAUACCGCAUACGACCUACGGGUGAAAGCAGGGGAUCUUCGGACCUUGCGCGAUUGAAUGAGCCGAUGUCGGAUUAGCUAGUUGGCGGGGUAAAGGCCCACCAAGGCGACGAUCCGUAGCUGGUCUGAGAGGAUGAUCAGCCACACUGGAACUGAGACACGGUCCAGACUCCUACGGGAGGCAGCAGUGGGGAAUAUUGGACAAUGGGCGCAAGCCUGAUCCAGCCAUACCGCGUGGGUGAAGAGGGCCUUCGGGUUGUAAAGCCCUUUUGUUGGGAAAGAAAAGCAGCAGGUUAAUACCCCGCUGUUCUGACGGUACCCAAAGAAUAAGCACCGGCUAACUUCGUG
rnacentral:rRNA from 1 species